rnacentral:lncRNA from 11 species
CACAGACAAAACAUUACACAAUGUCUAGGAAUUCUAUGUUGGGUUGUGUUUGGCGGGUGGAAAAAGGAACUGGGCAGAAAAUACACAGAAGGAAAUGGAUGAGAGAGAAAUUGAAGGACAGAAGACCCGAAUUCCAUUUCACGGGAGGAAUGAAUGGACUCCUUUCCAAGGAGGCGAGUUCGGGUGCUGAGAAUUCUGAAAAGCAAAUUCUGCUCUGAAAACAAAAC